AAAACAAGAGCGAGUAAUAAGAAAACUGUAUGUAUUUUAUUAUAUGAACACAUUAUAUUAUGUAGUUCUUUUUCUUAUUUAUUGAUAAAAAGAAUUUCUUUUUCUUUCAAGAAAAACGCUAGGAAGGAGCAACAGCAGCGACUUGGCAUCGGCCGUUCACCGUCCGACGACAUUCCGACCAAAAAGCUGAGGAGUCCAUUCGCAGCUAUGAAGAUAAGUCAAAUGUGUAAGACACCCGAGAUCCAAUUGGACACGAUAACGUAUUUUAAUUCCGGCCAAAUGCCGGGUAAAAGUAUAUUAAAGAAAUCGGAGGACCUAAGUAAGGAAGCUCGUAUCAAAUCUGCACACAAGGUCAAUUUUGAUGAUACGAUAGUUCGAAGAAGGGAGGUUCCUCUUGAUGAGGAAGCGCAGACUAAAUUAAGCCUAGCCGCUGCGUUAAGCAGAAUAGAGAAUCUCGAGUUGGGCGAAUUAAGCGUGGAAGAGAGUUUUAACGCUGAGAAAAGGUUGAACUUCGAAGCUGAAGAUUCUGACAAUUCCAUGAAUUCCAAUAGUUUUGAUGAAUUUGCGGCCGAGGUAUCGAUGCAGAUCGAGAAGCGACAAUCCAAAUCAUCUGUUCAGAAUGCUUUAAAUCUUAAUGUACACUCGCGUAACGACGUAACACUAUCUUGUAAGAAAACGGCGACGGACGAUGGAGAGAUUGUAACGUCUAGGAAACGUUCAACGCACUCGACGUGUCGAUACAUCGACGAGGAAGUAGAAUAAUAAAUUAAUUAAAGAUUUUAUAAUGUAAAUGUGUUGCCUGCAACGCCGUCAAAAACUAAUGUCGGAACUCCCGUUAACUCGGGGAUAAUCUCAAAUGCAGAAUUGGAACGAGAUAACGAGUCGGAAAUAAAAGUACUUAGAAAUAGAAUCAUCAAGACAAACGAUAGCGUGAAGAUUAACAGGACAAGCAAAUUGAUGACACCGAGAAAAGGAAGCGUUAGUAAAAAGAAAAAUAAGAGUCCUGUGAAGACAAGUAAAAAGAGUUCACUGAAAUUGUUACAGGAUGACUAAAAUACAAUGAAAAAUACAAUAUAUGAUGUUGACAAGAGGAGAAGAUCACCCCGAAAGUCUGAAACAUGCUUAGUGUGUUCCGAAAACAAACCCGUGCUACCUAUGACUCCGCAUGCCAUACGUCGAAGCAAGACUCCUUCAAGACUAAGUCGAGGCAAACGUACAUUUGAUGGCGAUCUUAUCUCAUUGGAUACACCAGAACCUCGUAAGUUCUAUCAGUACAAAUGUACAAAGAGGCAUAACGAUCAAAGAGGAGAGAGAGAUAUCGUAUUAAUUAAACACUUUUUCUUUCAGCGCCAAGGGAUCACGAAAUCUCAUAUGAAAAAUAACUAA